UCGUUUCUAGUCUAUUUUAGGAUGUCGUUUUGUCGUAGCGGUGGAGUAUGUUUUUACGGAAUGAG
rnacentral:tRNA from 1 species